rnacentral:rRNA from 1 species
CGUGCAGGCGGCCUUGCAAGUCGGACGUGAAAUCCCACGGCUCAACCGUGGAAGUGCAUUCGAAACUGCGAGGCUGGAGUCCUGGAGAGGAAAGUGGAAUACUCGGUGUAGAGGUGAAAUUCGUAGAUAUCGAGUGGAACACCGGUGGCGAAGGCGGCUUUCUGGACAGGUACUGACGCUGAGACGCGAAAGCGUGGGAGCAAACA